rnacentral:rRNA from 1 species
AUACGGAGGAUCCGAGCGUUAUCCGGAUUUAUUGGGUUUAAAGGGUGCGCAGGCGGCCAUUUAAGUCAGCGGUUAAAUCGUGGGGCUCAACCCCAUUCUGCCGUUGAUACUGGGUGGCUUGAUUGCGGUCGAGGUUGGCGGAAUUCGUUGUGUAGCGGUGAAAUGCAUAGAUAUGACGAAGAACACCGAUUGCGUAGGCAGCUGACCAGACCGCAAAUGACGCUCAUGCACGAAAGUGCGGGGAUCUAGCAGGAUUAGAUACCCUGGUAGUCCGCACAGUAAACGAUGAAUACUUGUUUUCGGCGAUAUAAUGUCGGAGGCAAAGCGAAAGCGAUAAGUAUUCCACCUGGGGAGUACGCCGGCAACGGUGAAACUCAAAGGAAUUGGCGGGG